AGGCGCAUUUCAGGGUCUAAACGCAGCAGGAAAAAGAGGUCUGAAACAGAGAGUGCCAGUUCAUACUCAGAUAAGAGUUCAGGUGCUGAUAUAGAUGCAAAGGGAAAAUCAAAGCCAGAUGAGAUGAAGACUGAAAUUAAUGCUGAUGCUCUUAUAUUAAAAGAGAUGAUCGAGGCACAGAAGAAGCCUGCUCUGGAUAAUGAACCUACGGUUGGGCCAAUGCCCCUACCCAGAGCUGAGGGGCAUAUAAAUUAUGGUGGUGCAUUGAGGCCAGGUGAAGGCGAUGCCAUUGCACAGUAUGUGCAGCAAGGAAAGCGUAUUCCACGUAGAGGUGAAGUGGGUCUUUCUGCUGAAGAAAUUCAAAAAUUUGAGAGCCUCGGGUAUGUGAUGAGUGGUAGCAGGCACCAGAGGAUGAAUGCCAUUCGUAUUAGGAAAGAAAACCAGGUCUACAGUGCUGAGGACAAGCGAGCUUUGGCUAUGUUUAACUAUGAAGAGAAGGCAAAACGUGAGCACAAGGUUAUGGCUGAUUUACAGAGGCUGG
rnacentral:misc_RNA from 1 species